ensembl:lncRNA
UGCUAUCAAGCUUACUUUGCCCACUACCUCGCCUGUGGUUAUUACAAUAUCAUUAAAAGUUACAUAAAGUAACGGUUUAAUAACACAAACGCAGGAAACCCGUGAGCUGCUAGUUUAGCGAAAGCAGCGUCCAUAGCAACCUGACGUCGUUGAAACUAAUUCCUAAUAACUAUAAAACUAAAGAUCAGACACAAUCACUGAUUGAAGAUUAUGUAUAAUAGGGAAUAUUGCACUACGGACCUCUAUGUUGUUACACAUAACGGAACCGGAAGUUAAUGACUGUUUAGAUGUAAACAUACCAGCACCUUUAGCUGCUCAUGACAUGUUUGGUUAUUGUCAUUUCACUGCUAUCUUUCAUUAAAGAAAGUGAACAAAUGGAAAGUUGUUCUUAUUUAUAACCAAACACCUGGAUGAAGCCAAGCAGACACCUCCGACGUCGCGAAAAAAUGCGAUCAAACGAAUGAGCGGGCCGCGAGUGUAUUUACAAGUAACGUCGCCCGGGAACCUGCGCACAUGAGCGCAUAAUUUUUUUUUUUUUUUUUUUUUUCUUAUAAAACUGUGGAACCAAGGAUGGAUGUGCCUUGCCCUAUCGAGGAGUGUGACCAUGUGGCUACACAUGCGGAAGUAGCGGUGGUGGUGGCCAUGCUGAACAUACACGCGACCACACACACUGCAGCCCCCAGGGAACCGCGCGCAAACGCCAAAGUGGAGAAACUCAGGCGCCCGUCCAUAGCAUUGGCUGGAACAGCCGAGACCUGGUCAUACUUCCUAACCCGCUGGGGUGAGUACAAGAGGGGCACUAAACUAAUUGGAUCAGAUGUUGUCACACAACUGCUAGAGUGCUGUGAGGAGGAUCUGAGAAAAGACCUCACCCGUGCUGCAGGUAAAAGCCUAGUGGACAGUGAUGAAAAGGACGUUCUCUCUGCCAUAAGGGCACUCUCUGUCCGUGCAGAAAACACAAUGGUAGCUCGAGUGGCCCUAUCUAACAUGCGACAGGGACACGAAGAGCCCAUCCGAUCAUUUCAUGCUCGCUUAAAGGGGCAGGCAGGCACGUGUAAAUACGAAAUUACAUGCACUAAGGAGGGGUGUGACCAAGUCAACGACUUCACAGAGGAAAUAUUGCGCGAUGUGAUCGCCCGCGGCAUAGCAGACCAAGAAAUACAGCUCGAUCUGCUUGGCGAAAAGAAUCAGGAUAUGCCACUAAAGGACAUAAUAGAGUACAUCGAAGCCAAAGAGUCAGGGAAGCGCUCAGCGUCACGCCUGCUUAACCCUCAGAGCACGGACACUAUCAGCAGCUCAUAUCGACGGGGGAAGCAGCAGGACGUCCGCGCCAGAGGGGGCGCCAGAGCGGAGCAAUCCAAGGUCAAGGCCGAGGGGACGUGCAUCUACUGCGGCGAGGCAGGCCACGGCAAGACGCCUCAGUGGCGUGCCAGGCGCGCCGAGUGCCCCGCGUACGGCAAGACGUGCCGGAAAUGCAACCGUCAAAACCACCUCGAAAAGGCCUGCCUGGGUGGCCGGUCAUCUAGGCCCGCACCGGAGGAGACAGAUGGGGUGUGCGACGAACAGCAGGCGACCGCCUUCGGCGAGCUGUGCACACUCACCAGCACCGCCGACAUGGUACGCACACUCCCCCUCGCUCACCACCUGUAUGAUGACAUGUGUGACAAGUGGAUGAAGCGCCCGUCCAACUCACAGCCAUACAUCCACCUCACACUCACCAUUGAAAACGAGGAUUACAAAGCACUGGGCCUCGACCUCCGGAAACGCACCCGCACUGUGACCCUGCCUGCCAUGGCUGACACGGGGUGCCAGAGCUGCCUGAUCGGCGUCAAGGUCGCCCAACAGAUGGGCCUGAACACAGACGACCUCAUUCCUGUAUCCAUGACCAUGAAGGCCGCGAAUAAUGAAGGCAUACGGAUCCUCGGGGCCGCCGUCGUCAGGUUCGCCGGUAACAGCAGCGACGCCCGGAGAUUGGAGACGCGCCAGAUCGCGUACGUGACUGACACCUCAGACCGUAUAUUCCUGUCUCGUACAGCCUGUGUGGACCUGGGCAUGAUCUCAGACAGGUUCCCAACACUCGGGGAGGUCAACCUUGCAACCUCAGACCCAUGUGACUGCCCGCGGCGUGCGGAACCUCCGACCAAGCCAACCACGCUCCCCAUGCCGGCCACGGAGGCUAACAGGGGAGCUCUAAGGAAACACUUACUUGGACUAUACGCUCAGAGCACAUUCAAUACAUUUCCCCACCAGCCCUUGCCGAGAAUGUCUGGUCCACCUCUUCGUCUCAUGCUCAAUGAGAAUGCAACGCCGGUCGCCUGCCACACCCCCAUCCCAGUCGCCAUACACUGGCAAGGUGAGGUGAAGGCGGGCCUUGACCAGGACGUUCGUCUUGGCGUGCUGGAAGAAGUGCCCAUUGGCACGCCAGUGACGUGGUGUCACCGCAUGGUGAUCUGCGCAAAGAAGAACGGCAAGCCACGACGUACCGUCGAUUUCCAAGCACUGAACAAGCAUGCGCUCCGUGAGACCCACCACACGCAAUCUCCCUUCCACCAGGCGAGACAGGUGCCCAGUGGGAAAUGCAAGACUGUAUUCGACGCCUGGAAUGGCUACCACAGCGUCCCACUGCAUGAAGAUGACCGCCACAAGACGACGUUCAUCACGCCAUGGGGGCGCUACCGGUACCUUUCGGCGCCACAGGGGUACAUAGCGUCGGGAGACGGUUAUUCACGGCGCUAUGAUGAGGUGGUUGCGGACAUCGGCAACAAGACUAAGUGUGUGGACGACACACUCCUGUGGGCUGAUACAGUUGAGGAGAGUUACUUCCAGGCGGCACAAUGGCUGGACGUUUGUGGCAGGAACGGUAUCAUCCUCAACCCGGAAAAAUUUGUCUUCGCCGCACCCUCGGUGGACUUCGCGGGCUUCACGAUCACCAUGUCUGACGUACGGCCAUGCAGCCGUUACCUGGAGGCUAUCCGAGACUUCCCACGACCGCGCAACGUCACCGAUGUCAGGUCCUGGUUCGGACUGGUCAACCAGGUGGCCUACGCCUUCAGUAUGGCCGAACGCAUGCAACCGUUCCGGAAACUCCUACUGCAUGGGGUACGCUUCGAGUGGUCUCCGGAAUUAGAGAACGUUUUCCGCGAAUCAAAGGAGGAGAUCGUCCAGGAGAUCGAGCGUGGCGUCCGCAUCUUUGACAAGUCCAAGCCAACAUGCCUCGCAACGGACUGGUCAAAGGAGGGAGUCGGCUUCUGGCUGUUCCAGAAGCACUGUCAGUGCACGCCGGUCAGGCCCUUCUGCUGCGCUGAUGGAUGGAAGGUGACCCUGGUUGGCAGCAGGUUCACACACGCGGCCGAGUCCAGGUACGCGCCUGUAGAGGGCGAGGCGCUUGCGGUCGCUGACGCCUUGGACAAAGCGCGCUACUUCGUGUUGGGCUGCAGGGACCUGAUUGUGGCAGUCGACCACAAGCCGUUACUCAAACUCCUUGGCGACAGAGCACUCGACGACAUACCCAACCCCCGUCUCAGGAACCUCAAGGAGAAGACCCUGCGCUAUUGUUUCCGCAUCAUUCAUGUCCCCGGGAUGAAGAACAGGGCUGCAGAUGCCAUGUCGCGCAGGCCGGUCGGCACACAGUGCCCGUCGCCCAUGGAUCUUCCAGACGACAAUACCGCCAUGGUGACCCACCUCUCACCCAGCGCACACGCUGAUGUGCUGUCUCUCAUACGGUGGGCAGGGCCGGUGGCCGAUGAUGUUGAGGAGGGCGACCUGGCCUGGUGCGCUGCGGGGCUUGAAUCGCUGCAGUCCGUGACAUGGGACCGUGUCAGGGAGGCCAUGAGCAGCAGCGAUGAUAUGCGCACGUUGGAGGAGAUGGCGGCAGACAGCUUCCCCGAGUCAAGGGCUGGGAUGCCAGCGGCGAUUCGUGGCUUCCACCAGUACCGCGAGGAUAUCACAUCAGCUGAUGGGGUGGUCCUGUACAAGGAUAGGGUAGUCAUACCACCCUCACUCCGUGGCGAAGUGCUGAGCGCCCUGCACGCUGCCCACCAAGGCGUCUCCAUGAUGACCGCCCGCGCGGAGUCGUCUGUGUUCUGGCCAGGCAUGUCGGCUGACAUCUGCGCCACUCGGAAUAACUGUGAACACUGCCACCGGAUGGCGCCCUCUCAGCCCGCGGCGCCGCCGACCCCGCCUGUCAUGGCCAUUUACCCCUUCCAGGCUGUGUGUUCAGACUUUUUCAUGCACAGGGGUGUGCACUAUCUUGUGAUAGUUGACCGCUACUCGAAUUGGCCAAUCAUCUCGAGGUCGACGGGUGGCGCCGCAGACCUCAUAUGCCACCUACGCCGUGCCUUUGCCACGUACGGGACUCCAGAGGAGCUUGCAUCGGACGGGGGGCCAGAGUUCACCUCCGCCGAGACCAGGUCUUUCCUUCACAGAUGGGGCGUACACCACCGCCUCUCAUCGGUGGCCUUCCCCCACAGCAACUGCCGCGCAGAGAUCGGGGUGAAGACGAUGAAGUGGCUCAUCACUGACAAUACAGGCCCGAAAGGCGAACUCGACACCGACGCUGUGCAGAGGGCGAUACUCCAGUACCGUAAUACGCCGGACCCUGACACAAAGCUAUCCCCGGCGAUGUGUGUCUUCGGCCGGCCCAUCCGCGACUUCAUCCCGAUUCCACCCGGGAGGUACAGGCCGCACGUAACAUGGCGU